rnacentral:rRNA from 1 species
AAGUCGUAACAAGGUCUCCGUAGGUGAACCUGCGGAGGGAUCAUUACCGAGUGAGGGCCCUCGCGCCCGACCUCCAACCCUUUGUUAAUGAAUAUGACGUUGCCUCGGGGGGCGACCCGGCUCGCGCCGGCGAGCCCCCCGGAGGACUACAACCUAAACUCUGCAUCUUUGCGUCGAGUAUUGAAACUAAAUCAAUCAAAACUUUCAACAACGGAUCUCUUGGUUCUGGCAUCGAUGAAGAACGCAGCGAAAUGCGAUAAGUAAUGUGAAUUGCAGAAUUCAGUGAAUCAUCGAAUCUUUGAACGCACAUUGCGCCCUCUGGUAUUCCGGGGGGCAUGCCCGUUCGAGCGUCAUUACACCACUCAAGCCUCGCUUGGUAUUGGGCGUCGCGACACCGCGUGCCUCUAAUUCAUCGGCUGGACGGUCUGAAUCUCAGCGUUGUGGAUUAUUCAAUUCGCUGGCGAGGACGACCGGACGCGCCGUUAAACCCUUCUUUACAGGUUGACCUCGGAUCGGGUAGGGAUACCCGCUGAACUUAAGCAUAUCAAUAAGCGGAGGAAAAGAAACCAACAGGGAUUGCCCUAGUAACGGCGAGUGAAGCGGCAACAGCUCAAAUUUGAAAUCUGGCGCAAGCCCGAGUUGUAAUUUGUAGAGGAUGCUUCUGGGCAGCGGCCGGUCUAAGUUUCUUGGAACAGGACGUCAUAGAGGGUGAGAAUCCCGUAUGUGACCGGCUGGCACCCUUCACGUAGCUCCUUCGACGAGUCGAGUUGUUUGGGAAUGCAGCUCUAAAUGGGAGGUAAAUUUCUUCUAAAGCUAAAUACCGGCCAGAGACCGAUAGCGCACAAGUAGAGUGAUCGAAAGAUGAAAAGCACUUUGGAAAGAGAGUUAAAAAGCACGUGAAAUUGUUGAAAGGGAAGCGCUUGCAACCAGACUUGUUGGCGGUGUUCCGCCGGUCUUCUGACCGGUCUACUCGCCGCCCGCAGGCCAGCGUCGUCUGGGGCCGCCGGAGAAAGGUGUCGGGAAUGUAGCUCCCCUCGGGGAGUGUUAUAGCCCUUCGCACAAUACGGCGCGCCCCGAGCGAGGUCCGCGCUUCGGCAAGGACGCUGGCGUAAUGGUCGUAAGCGGCC